UGGGGGAUAUUGCACAAUGGGCGAAAGCCUGAUGCAGCGACGCCGCGUGGGGGAUGAAGGCCUUCGGGUUGUAAACUUCUUUUGCUCUGAACAAGGCGCACCAUGGGGUGUGUUGAGUGUAGGGGUUGAUUAGCGACGGCUAACUACGUGCCAGCAGCCGCGGUAAUACGUAGGGCGCGAGCGUUGUCCGGAAUUAUUGGGUGUAAAGGGCUUGUAGGUGGCUGGGUGCGUCUGUCGUGAAAGCUCAUGGCUUAACUGUGGGUUUGCGGUGGGUACGGGCUGGCUUGAGUGCAGUAGGGGAGGCUGGAAUUCCUGGUGUAGCGGUGGAAUGCGCAGAGAUCAGGAGGGAUACCGGUGGCGAAGGCGGGUCUCUGGGCUGUUACUGACACUGAGGAGCGAAAGCAUGGGGAGCGAACAGG
rnacentral:rRNA from 1 species